rnacentral:lncRNA from 1 species
CCCAGCCUGUUACCUGAGCGUGGUGGCUGAGGAGAUGGUGGCCUUUGCAACUUAAAGUCUCACCUUUUGUGGCGCCUGGCAGGCCUGCUGGGCCCUGUCUUCAGUCCAGCAGAGGGGGCCACCGCUGGCUGGCUGGCCCUGCUGGGCGCAGCCCCGAACACAGCAAAAUCUGUGACUCCAGGAGAUUUGAAACCCGGCUCCUGUCAUUUUUUGGCUUGUAGAUAAACUGCUCAGCAGUCGGGGAGUAAGGGUAAUACCGGGGACCCCUUCCUGCCAGGAGCCCCAUGGCACUCCGUCAGCUGCUCUGUCGCCACCCUCCUCUGCAUGCCUGUCCAGCCUCGCUCUUCCCUGGCCAGAGUCAGCGUCGGUGGCCGGGUGGCAUAAUUUAGGGACCCCUCCCUUUCCACAGGGCUGCUCUUCUGGCCUCUUUCAUUAGCCAUCGAGAGGGAAAAUCAGGAACAUUUGUUCACGCUCUGCUGGGACGCAGCCGCGGGAGGGGGCUGGGAGCCAGCACGUUGGUCCCACGGAGCACAGGCUGCUUGUGGAUCAGGCGUUUCUGCAACUGAUGCCGCUGAGCUAAGAUGCCAGGCUGGGCUCCUCCUGCCGCCCGGGCUGCCACCCUGGACCCGCAUCAGCGCUCCAUCUGAUGAGUGGGGGCCGAGAGCGAGCCACUUUUUAAGAAGAAAACCAGACUGACGGGAUGAGACCCCGGGGUUUGCACCGGGCAGAGCAGGACUUUCAUCCGGGUCUUACUAUCUUGUGAUCCAGCCCUCGCUCCUGUUCACACACCGAGGCUGGGUCCAUGAGUGAAAUCAACAGCUGGAAAAUGAGCACAGACAAGCUCAUUGCUGGUGGGUGAGUGUUUCCAUCCACGCAACAGAAUGGAGUGGAGAGGUCGCUAAGCCAGGAGUUAGGAGAGGCGUGUCCCAGCCUUCAAUCUCUCACAGAUAGAGCUGUGUGAACUCCACAGAGUCGCCAGCCCUCUCUGAGCCUGUUUCUCCUUUUUCUUUAGAAGAAUCAUGGCAAGGUGGUUAGACAGCCUGGGCUCAAAGGAUGGUGAGUCUUCAUAUCCGACUGUGACCUUAGGCCCUUCCACCUCUGGUGCCUCAGUUUCCUGACCUAGUAAAAAUGGAGCCAGUAUACCACAUCAGACUGUUGUGACCUGUCAAUGAGAUAGAACGUGUCAGAUGCCCAGAACAUAGUAAAUGCUCAAUAAAUGCUCAUCAUCA